AAUUAAAAAGAGGCACUUUCCCCCAGGUGGAGGCUGCCCCAGGCCAAUUUGGUAAAGCUUGGUGGGCAGGGUGGUUUCCGUGCCUACUUGUCCCUGGGCCCAGGGCUUGUCUUUAAUGACUCACCUGCAGCAGAGAAAUGAGAAAUUAUUCUGGUGUAGGCUGCUAAUUUUUUUUUUGCAGAAAUGACAUCCUUUUAAACCUGAGAAGUUGUGAUGGUUAAUUUUAUGUGUCAGCUCAACUGGAUCAUGGAGUACCCAGUUAUUUGGCUGAACACGAUUUCAAGACUGGACCUCCAUCAUCACGGAUGCUCCUGAUAGAGCUUGGCAAGCAGAGCACCUGCUGCUUCUCAGGCUUUCAGACUGGGAAUGGAACUACACCAACAGGCUCUCCUAGGACUCAGCUUGCAGAUGGCAGGUUUUGGGACUUCUCAGCCUUCCUAAUCAUGGCCAGGCCUAAAGUUGCCUGGCUAUUGCUGGCAAUUGUCAAGCCCAGAGGAUUUUUAGCACCAGAAAUGUAGUCUGCGGCACGAGUCCUUUGGAAGAAAACACUCUUCAAUUACUGUGAUGUUACCGUCUUGCUGUCAGCCCCAGAAGCUGCUGCCAGCAGGGUCACCAGCAGAGGAAGGAGUGGUUCCAGGAUAUCAUUUUCCACCUUGAGAAUCUUGGCCGAAGCAGUUGCGGGUCUAUUCUCAUCGCACUUGCUGCACUUAUGACUUCAUCCCCUAGGGAGGAUUCAUGAGCCAAGAGAUGCAUGAUUUUUCCACUCUAUAUAUACACCUGCUGUGAAAUGCAGACUGAACAACUGGGCACAGCAUUAAGCCUGAGAGAGAUCAAAACCUAAUUGCCGGAACGAGAAUCACAGGCAUUCACCGCGUCUGCACCAAGGACGGACUUGGAAAAGGGUGUAAUCAACUGGCAGCACAGCAUAAUCACAUAGCCUGCAUUUCCAGCAGUUACAAGUUAGGAACCUGGACCCAAGACUCCACUUCUCAACGGCAGAGCGGGAGUUCCACAUUUAGAAGUGUUGACUGCUCAACCAUGCUAUGUGUUCAGCAUAGUGCAAUGUGAAAUUAAUAUAUGUAUGCUCUGGCCCACUCUCAUCCCUUGACACUUUUGAUCUCUGAAUGCUCAGACUACCUUUUGUGAUACCACUCGUCUUUGCAUCUGCUGCUCCAGGCUACUGACCAAAGCUCAUAUUCCUGUGUUGUUGAUUAUUUAUGAAACUGUCAAGUUACAGAUGUUCAGAUACAACCCCUGAAAUCUUAUUAUUUACUUCCAACAAUGGGGAAAACUAUUAAUGAAAAUUCUGUGUACAAUAUUCUAGAAAACUAUAUUUGUCAUUUUAUAUGUAAGCUAAAAGAGGAGAAAACCUAACAACAACAACAAAACCCCUACACAUGGAACCCUCCACGAAGUACUCCAGUAUACAUAGUAUUUUUUCUCUAUCACCUGUGCCAUCUCUUAGUCAUAGGAAAUGAGGUAAAUUGGAAGGAACUUUCACAAAAACAAAAUCUGUUAAAAUUAUUCUAGUUUCAUCACAGUGUCAUCCAAGAAACUAUUUACUAUGCUUUCAUUUUUCAGUGUGUGGCCCUUUGAGAAGUUAUGUAACAGGUUAUCAAUUUAUGCACAUGCGCCAAGAUUCUUAACAUACAAGGUCACUCAGCGGGAGCAGUCAGAGUCAUUUCUAGAGGAAACUCAUGUUUGGUGCACUCUUUGUACCAGAGAACACCCUCUUUUCUAUUUUCUAGUCAACAAUGUCCUUCCUGCCCUCUCUCCCCACAUCAUUGAAUGGUCAAUAGGUUUGUCCACAGGCUUCAUGCAGCAUUAAUUUCCCAGAAGGAAAUUCCUCUCUCAUCUCCUGCUACCACUUAUAAGGAAGUGAAUCAGUGGAGACUUGGCAUUCACCUUUCAAAGUUGCUGGCUUCUGGUAUGCAGCAACAACAAACUAACUAGGUCCAGGAAUAGUACAGCAUUUUACUUAACAUAGAAAUAAUUCUUUAAGAUACAAACAAACAGAAGGACAAAUGGAGACUGAGAUUAUUCUAGGUUACAGAAGAAUUGGCAUUCUGAUGAUGUAUCAAGGAAGGUUCAUAAAAUAGAAAAAGCUUCCUAUAUUUUUCAGUUAUGCUUCUGAAGUUCAAAACCAUUCAGUGGUUCUUCAUUGCCUCCCAAAUUGGGUAUAGCUUUUUAUUAUGAAUUUAAGGUUAAUUAGCAUUUGGCUUUGUUCUAUCUUUAUAAUCACAGUCUCCAUUGAUCUUCUCCAUCUACCCUGUGAUGCAGUCAGAUUGGUCCACUUGGGGUUCCAUGGUUGGGUCCCAACACAUUCUAGUCCAGACUUUCUUCAGGAUGUUGCUUCCAUCUGGAAUUUUCUUUCCCACAUUAUAUGUACAGAAAUUCUAUUCAAGCUAAAAAUAGGAACUUUGUCUUAUUCAACUUAUUUUUUAAACAAAUGAUUAGCUGUGUCCUUUGCACACAAAAGAUGAUCAAUAUAGCAUUUUAAGUGAAUGAACAAAAGACUAAACAUUAUUUUGGGGGGAGUCCCCUGAUUAUACAUUUUUAAAUUUCAGGUGGGAUUCAAGGCAGUUAGAUUCAGCAGCAGGUCUAAAAGACUGGGAGAAAGAAUUUUAAUAUUUGAACAGAAGAAAUAGGGAGUUUAUCAGUAAUGAAUUGGAAAUUUUCCUUACCCCAUCUAAUGAAAAGGAGGAGAAGGUGGUGAUAUUAAGAGAGGGGGUCUUGUAUAUUGACGGGGAAGGACAGUGGAAUGAAUAUCUCCAUUUACUAGAGAACACCCUUUAGAUGGAAGCAAUUUUCUGUUAAGGUUCCUUCUUACAGCGUUUUGACAAAAUCCUUGCAUUCCUUAAAUGUUGCUUGCCUUUAACCAGAUUGGGAUUCUGGAUAGAAAGUCUCGUGUUAACCAACUCCAGCUCUCCAGUUCCCAUAGCACCCAUUACAGAACAAGGUAAUCUCAUGGCUACUGAUGUUAUCAGAUCUGAUGAAUUCUCUGUUCCCAUAAAUUAUUCAAAAGCAAUUUCCAUUUACCAGAAACGAAUUUCCAUUUCUAUGAAAAAGUCAGGUUUUUGGUCACUUUUACCUCAAAAUAACCUGUGAUACUUAAGACUAAAUAGAUGGGUGCAAAAUAUUUCUCAAGAAAUUCAUCCUCUGAAGGCUCAACUGACCUACAUUCAUAUCUCUUUACCGGUUCAAAUGCAACUUGAUAUCUGUUAGAUGAAAGAGCUGGGGGAGAAUUAAUAUUAAACUGACCCUGAGUUCUCUCAAAUUCUGAUGAAAAGUUUCAAGUUGCAAAUGUUCCUUCAGUGCUUUCAGAACACGUUUUUCAUAGCUAGAACAGGCACUUCAUUUGCAAGCAUUUUAUUUUAAAAUUUCCUGGGUAGAAUUUUAUGCAACUCAUCCAGUAUUAGAAUUCUCUGCAAUAUGAUAAACACAUCUGACCACCACACAAAAUGGCAGUGAGUGCAAAGAGAUUC